rnacentral:rRNA from 1 species
GAUGAACGCUGGCGGCGUGCCUAAUACAUGCAAGUCGAGCGAACAGACGAGGAGCUUGCUCCUCUGACGUUAGCGGCGGACGGGUGAGUAACACGGGAUAACCUACCUAUAAGACUGGGAUAACUUCGGGAAACCGGAGCUAAUACCGGAUAAUAUAUUGAACCGCAUGGUUCAAUAGUGAAAGACGGUUUUGCUGUCACUUAUAGAUGGAUCCGCGCCGCAUUAGCUAGUUGGUAAGGUAACGGCUUACCAAGGCAACGAUGCGUAGCCGACCUGAGAGGGUGAUCGGCCACACUGGAACUGAGACACGGUCCAGACUCCUACGGGAGGCAGCAGUAGGGAAUCUUCCGCAAUGGGCGAAAGCCUGACGGAGCAACGCCGCGUGAGUGAUGAAGGUCUUCGGAUCGUAAAACUCUGUUAUUAGGGAAGAACAAAUGUGUAAGUAACUAUGCACGUCUUGACGGUACCUAAUCAGAAAGCCACGGCUAACUACGUG